AGGUACUGUUGUAUAUAUUUUUUUGCCUGUUGAUUUUGAUGAGAUCUUAAGUUACUGUGGAUGAGGUGAUGCCUAUUAAGCAGUUGAUUCAAAUCAUAUUCUCUUUAAUUCUUAGGAUAACAAGGUUUUCUGCUUCCUAACUUUCACUUUGUGCAUUGACUGGUGUUGGUUAAUAAUGUUUUCAUGACCCAGGGGGUUUAAGUGGUUGUGGUGCUUCACACAUGGCCUCCUGCUUCUCAUGUUGCUAUGUCACGUUAUCUGAAGGGAAGUGGGGAUGGGAUGAAAGGCCUUGUAAGGCCACCUAUAUACGGAAGGAAAUGGUAGUGAAUCACAAUCCAUGCUCAUUACAUAUCAAGGCAUUUGAAAUAGAAGUUACUCUUUUUCUUGGGAUGUUGACCUCAGUUGAUGAGGUUUUACAGUGUCCUAUGAUCAGAAUAGAGGAUGUGAUACUGGAAUAAUCAUUUUCUACCAUUGAGUAAGUAUUUAUUUAUAAAUUUCUAAAUGAGUGGAAGAUCCUGGGUACUGGGAGGCAGGAGGUUGCAUAUUUGAGUUAAGUUGUACUACUGAUAAUAAAGAUAACUGACACACUAAAACAUACUUGGUACACUGAAAUACAAAUUACAGUUAUGUCCAGUGGUAUCACCAAGUGACAAACUGGGAGCUAAAUAGUUCAGGAAUGCCCUAGUCUCUAGGUCCAGUUUGAGUUGGUUAUGGAACAAAGAAGCCAUUUAUAAAAGGGAAGAGAUUUUUAGGUUUUGCAGCUAAGGUUUAUAGUAGACAGCGAGGGAAUGAUUCAUAGUGAUUGUAGCAGUUGGUUUACCAAGCACUAAAGAGAUUGGUGUUAACUCCAUAAUACUGAUAGACUGAUUGAAAUUACAUUUUUUCUCUUGAAUUUACCAGGAGUGGUUGUGAAUGUCACCUUUUCCAUCUUUUAAAUUACAUCCUUGCAGGUGGUAAUCACUCAAGGAAAAGGAACUAUCAGUAACAAUAGUUCCUGUUACUGACUUGAUAUGGUCUCUGCCAGAAUAGCUUCUCAGAUUAAUGGCCACUCUCAGGGGAAGCAUUUCUCCUUGCACUGGUUUGCUGGUAUGGAUGGCCCUUAGAUUUUGGCAUGAGUGAUUAUGCAGCAUAUUUGAAGAAAAGCUGUUUUCAGGACCUUUUUAAUUAAAUAUGGCCUGUUACAUGAGUUAAAGUGUCAUACGAUACCACUUUUUGACCACUUAGUUGAUGCCUCUGAAAGGAAGAGAGAAUCAGAUCGCUAAAAUUGGAUGUGUCGUCAGUGUGGAUCCUACUCAAUAGUGUCACGACGAGGCUGAAAAUCAUAUUAAGUGCUUUUAGGACAGAAACGUAAACUGCUCAGGUAAAAUAACCUUAUAAAGAGAAAUAAGCAUAUAUUGCAGAGGCCUUGGCUAGGUUCAUGAUGACAUAGGACCUUGUCUGAACAUAAUGAUUUCAAAAUUUGAGCUUAAAAAUGACGCUCUGAAAUCCAGUCAGUGUGCCUCACUAGGCUUUUCGAUUUCUAGAUUUUCUGCGGAAAAUGUUGUGAAAACUUUGAAUGCUUAAAAAUGGCAGGUGUAGUAUUGUACUUUGCUAGUUGCUCAGAUACCCUUUUUUAUUUGUAUAGAUAUUCUGAGUUCCUUUUUUUUCCUGCAUGUUGUAUGUUGUCGAAAGCUAAAAGGAAACUUAUCCUUGGAUCACGGAAGGCAGAGGCACUUGGUGAGAUGGAAACAAGGAUGUGUAAAAAUGAGACUACCGCCUCUCGGAUUAAAAAAAAAAGUGCCAGAGUUCUAGGGUUCUAAGUGAUGUCCAGGAAGGAGGAGGAAUAAUAUUUAUGGAGCAUAUAUUAUGGAACACAGUGAGUAUAGCACAUGCCUUUAAAUGAAUACUGUUGGUUUUUUAGGACAGUUGAUUUUGUUUGUUUUUUCUUCAGCUGUGUGCAGUUGAUUAACUUGUACAGAGCCUAUCACACAAUAGAUGUUUACGAAAUAUUAAGUGAAUGAGGCAGCAUUGCUAAUUUUUUGUAUAGUGAGACAGUAUCUCACAGUCCAGGCUGGAGUUCAGUGGCAUUAACAUAACUCGCUGCAGCCUUGAACACCUGAGCUCAAACGAUCCUUUCACCUUACCCUCCAGAGUAGCUGGGACUACAGUCAUGUGUCAACAUGCCUGGCUAAUUUUAGUUUUCUGUGAGUUGGGAUCUCACUAUGUUGCUUAGGCUGGUCUUGAACUCCUGGCCUCAUGCCGUCCUCUUGCCUCAGCUGGUAUUGUAGGUGUGAGCCACUGUGCCAGGUACUAAUUUUUUUUAUGUUAGAAAACAAGUUUUUGGGUAUUUUAUAGUUACUUCCUUAUGACAAUAUCUCAUCAGAAUCUAGGCCUAUCUGAUACCUGACUCCAUACGUUUAUACCAUGUAGUCAGCCAUUCCCAGAUAGAGGUCAUUUGAGUUACUUAGUGUUUACCAGCACUUGUUUACUACCUCGCGAUGAUAUUUACAGUGUAUUUUUGGGUAUGGCUUUGGGGUUAUUUGGUGGUUGUUAAAACGUCUGUAAUCCUGGCACUUUGGGAGGUUGAGGCAGUUGGAUCACCUGAGGUCAGGAGUUCAAGCCCAGCCUGGCCAACAUGGCGAAACCCUACCUCUACUAAAAAUACAAAAAUUAGCCUGGCAUGGUGGCAGGCACCUGUAAUCCCAACUACUCGGGAGGCUAAGACAGGAGAAUUGCUUGAACCCAGGAGGUGGAGGUUGCAGUGAGCCAAGAUCGCACCAAUGGCACUCCAGCUUGAAUGACAGAGGUGAGACUCCCAUCUCAAGGUAAAAAGAAAAAAAUAGAAAUCAGCAACUGCUAUUUGAGUUUACAGGAGUGAGAAGUCCUCUCUUGCAUGGUGAGAGGGGGAACAUUUAAUUCAAUAGAAAUAUUUGAGACCAGGUGUUGUGGCUCAAGCCUGUAAUCCCAGCACUUUGGGAGGCUGAGUUGGGCGGAUCACCUGAUAUCAGGAGUUUGAGACUAGCCUGGCCAACAUAGCAAUACCCUGUCUCAAAAAUACAAAAAUCACCCAAGCUUGGUGGUGUGUGCCUGUAAUUCUAGCUACUCAGGAGGCUGAGGCAGGAGAAUCACUUGAACCUGGGCGGCAAAGGUUGCAGUGAGCCGAGACCAUGACACUGCACUCCAGCCUGGGCGACAGAGUGAGACUCCGUCU
rnacentral:sRNA from 1 species